rnacentral:rRNA from 1 species
AGCGAACGCUGGCGGCGUGCUUAACACAUGCAAGUCGCGGGAGAAUGGAGGGCUUCGGCCUUCCUAGUAAACCGGCGCACGGGUGAGUAACACGUAGGUAACCUACCUCCGAGACCGGGAUAACCUAUCGAAAGAUUGGCUAAUACCGGAUAAGACCACGACGGCUUCGGCCCUUGCGGUCAAAGGUGGCCUCUGCUCGCAAGCUACCACUUGGGGAUGGGCCUGCGGGCCAUUAGCUUGUUGGNGAGGUAACGGCUCACCAAGGCGACGAUGGCUAGCUGGUCUGAGAGGAUGAUCAGCCACACUGGGACUGAGACACGGCCCAGACUCCUACGGGAGGCAGCAGUGGGGAAUAUUGCGCAAUGGGGAAACCCUGACGCAGCGACGCCGCGUGGGUGAUGAAGGCCU